UACGAAGGGGGCUAGCGUUGCUCGGAAUCACUGGGCGUAAAGCGCACGUAGGCGGACUCUUAAGUCAGGGGUGAAAUCCUGGAGCUCAACUCCAGAACUGCCUUUGAUACUGGGAGUCUUGAGUUCGGGAGAGGUGAGUGGAACUGCGAGUGUAGAGGUGAAAUUCGUAGAUAUUCGCAAGAACACCAGUGGCGAAGGCGGCUCACUGGCCCGAUACUGACGCUGAGGUGCGAGAGCGUGGGGAGCAAACAGG
rnacentral:rRNA from 1 species